CUUAGCUCAGUUGGAUAGAGCAACGGCCUUCUAAGCCGUAGGUCGUAGGUUCGAAUCCUACAG
rnacentral:tRNA from 15 species